rnacentral:lncRNA from 1 species
CCCCAUUUACAUUUUUUAUAAUUAAAAAGACACAUGAUGCACAAAGGCGAUAAUUCUUUUGGUUUUAACUUUUUUUCACCAAAUGUUGAUUUACUAGAAGCCGGCAACUAGUGAUUUGGCUAAUGGGAUGCACGGUUCCACCUUAUAGAUUACAUGUGGUUUAACACAUAAAGCAACAAGAGGUCUUUGUGUAAGUGCCUUGACUAGCUGGCACAACAUAUACUACAUGAAAGUGCCCAGUAAAGGGAUUCAAAUUUACAGAGCAACUCGACUGAUGCUUGCUGCACAUGAUCAGCUUCACAAGCGACUCGGUCAGCAGGUUGACAAUAUAGGCAUGGCAAUAAAAUUCACAUUAGUCAUAGCGAAAUUCUCGUUCAAGAAAUUCCAGCAAGUCUGUUCCUUCCUUCCGUUCAUGCCACACCGGAUAGCACCAAUAUGGCUUAGGCACAGGCCAUCUGUUAUGAUGAAAUCAUAAGUAAGUCCAUGAAUAGUGCAUAUCUGAAUCAAGGUCUUGUUGAAUGCAUAAUAAUAUUUUAAAAACCUGUUUGGUGCGGGAACUUUGGUAAAAUCAGCAGUCCUACACAUAAACCAAAAGGUAUAGUUUUAACUAGUUAAUAUGUAAGACAAGAGGCGAAAUUUAUUGAAGAUGAUGAUGAUGAUGAUGAUAGAAAACAUACCCUUUUGCAUCAAAAUUCCCCAAGAGUUUCACAAUUGUAUCCCGUGGCAUGUAGGGAGUUUCUUCCAAGCCAUAGAAGUUCAUGCCAAUAAAGUUCCCAUCAGAAUCAAUAAGAGGGCCCCCAAUCC